AGGGUUUGAUUAUGGCUCAGAACGUACGCUGGCGGCACGCCUAACACAUGCAAGUCGAACGAAGUAGCAAUACUUAGUGGCAGACGGGUGAGUAACAUGUAGGUAUCUGCCCUUUGGCCUGGAAUAACACGAGGAAACUUGUGCUAAUACCGGAUAAGUCUUUACGGAGAAAGCUUUAUGCACCAUUGGAUGAGCCUGCAUUUGAUUAGUUUGUUGGUGGGGUAAUGGCCUACCAAGACUGUGAUCAAUAGCUGAUUUGAGAGGAUGAUCAGCCACAUUGGGACUGAGACACGGCCCAAACUCCUACGGGAGGCAGCAGUGGGGAAUCUUGCACAAUGGAGGAAACUCUGAUGCAGCGAUGCCGCGUGAGUGAAGAAGGCCCUUGGGUUGUAAAGCUCUUUCGUCGGGGAAGAAAAUGACUGUACCCGAAUAAGAAGGUCCGGCUAACUUCGUGCCAGCAGCCGCGGUAAUAC
rnacentral:rRNA from 1 species